rnacentral:rRNA from 1 species
ACUGAACGCUGGCGGCAGGCUUAACACAUGCAAGUCGAGCGGAGCGAGGGCGCCUGCACCUUAGCUUAGCCGCGGACGGGUGAGUACUGCUCAGGAAUCUGCCUACUAGUGGGGGACAACAUUCCGAAAGGAAUGCUAAUACCGCACACGCCCUACGGGGGAAAGCAGGGGAUCGUUGGAGCUUGCGCUAAGCGAUGAGCCUUAGUGGGAUUAGCUAGUUGGUGGGGUAAAGGCCUACCAAGGCGACGAUAUGUAGCGGGUCUGAGAGGAUGAUCCGCCACACUGGGACUGAGACACGGCCCAGACUCCUACGGGAGGCAGCAGUGGGGAAUAUUGGACAAUGGGCGGAAGCCUGAUCCAGCCAUGCCGCGCGUGUGAAGAAGGCCUUUUGGUUGUAAAGCACUUUAAGCGAGGAGGAGGCUCUUAAGGUUAAUACCCUUGAUGAGUGGACGUUACUCGCAGAAUUAGCACCGGCUAACUCUGUGCCAGCCGCCGCGGUAAAAC